UGGGGAAUUUUGGACAAUGGGGGCAACCCUGAUCCAGCAAUGCCGCGUGAGUGAAGAAGGCCUUCGGGUUGUAAACCGCUUUUGUCAGGGAAGAAACGGUCUGUCUUAAUACUGCGGACUAAUGACGGUACCUGAAGAAUAAGCACCGGCUAACUACGUGCCAGCAGCCGCGGUAAUACGUAGGGUGCAAGCGUUAAUCGGAAUUACUGGGCGUAAAGCGUGCGCAGGCGGCUUUGCAAGACAGAUGUGAAAUCCCCGGGCUCAACCUGGGAACUGCAUUUGUGACUGCAAGGCUGGAGUGCGGCAGAGGGGGAUGGAAUUCCGCGUGUAGCAGUGAAAUGCGUAGAUAUGCGGAGGAACACCGAUGGCGAAGGCAAUCCCCUGGGCCUGCACUGACGCUCAUGCACGAAAGCGUGGGGAGCAAACAGGAUUAGAUACCCUUGUAGUCCCUGAGCGGGCUGGCAAGGCGCAU
rnacentral:rRNA from 1 species